GAUGAACGCUGGCGGCGUGCCUAAUACAUGCAAGUCGAGCGAACAUCAGAGAAGCUUGCUUCUCUGAUGUUAGCGGCGGACGGGUGAGUAACACGUGGGUAACCUACCUAUAAGACUGGGAUAACUCCGGGAAACCGGGGCUAAUACCGGAUAAUAUUUUGAACCGCACGGUUCGAUAGUGAAAGACGGUUUCGGCUGUCACUUGUAGAUGGACCCGCGCCGUAUUAGCUAGUUGGUAAGGUAACGGCUUACCAAGGCGACGAUACGUAGCCGACCUGAGAGGGUGAUCGGCCACACUGGAACUGAGACACGGUCCAGACUCCUACGGGAGGCAGCAGUAGGGAAUCUUCCGCAAUGGGCGAAAGCCUGACGGAGCAACGCCGCGUGAGUGAUGAAGGUCUUCGGAUCGUAAAACUCUGUUGUUAGGGAAGAACAAAUUUGUUAGUAACUGAACAAGUCUUGACGGUACCUAACCAGAAAGCCACGGCUAACUACGUGCCAGCCGCCGCGGUAA
rnacentral:rRNA from 1 species